rnacentral:lncRNA from 1 species
AUCGCAAGCUUAAGGCCAAACCACGCACUUAUGGCACGGGCCCUGUCAGAUUCCAAUGAAUCUGCAAAUUCUGCU